rnacentral:rRNA from 1 species
UACAGAGGUCUCAAGCGUUGUUCGGAUUCACUGGGCGUAAAGCGCGUGUAGGCGGCCAUGCAAGUCGGAUGUGAAAGCCCUCGGCUCAACCGGGGAAGUGCACUCGAAACUGCAAGGCUAGAGUCUCGGAGAGGAUCGUGGAAUUCUCGGUGUAGAGGUGAAAUUCGUAGAUAUCGAGAGGAACACCGGUGGCGAAGGCGGCGAUCUGGACGAUGACUGACGCUGAGACGCGAAAGCGUGGGGAGCAAACAGG